CAAAAGUGCAAACUGGCUACUAGUACAUCUAAAAAAUCUUAUGAAGAAAUAAAAACUAAAAAAUUAAGAGGUUCAAGGUAACUUUUAAAAGUGAGGGCUGUGUGGUUAUGGAACAAAUGCACACAUAUGUAAAUUGACAAAACCAGUGUGAAAAAUUAUAUGGCUUAGUCUGGUCAAUAUGAAAUGGACAUGUUCAGUGAGUGAUGAAUUCUUCUCCUAUCAGAGACAGACAUUGCCAGAUCUAUUGAAACAUACGGACCAGUGUUAUUUUUGAUAGAGAAAAAUGUAAACAACCCAAUUAAUUCACAUCACAGUAAAUAAAUACACUGUGGCACAUUCAUCUGAUGAUACACUAGAGAACUGAAGAUGAAUGAGUUACAGUCUGGAACAAAAACAAGAUUGAUUCUCAGGAACACCAUGCUACAGAAGAAUUUACAUAGUGCAUUUAGAACCAUAUAAAGUUCAGAGCUGUACAUAAUUAACUAAUAUAUACCUUAGGGAUGCAAACUCUGUAUUAAAGUAAAUGUAGAAAAAUAAAUGUAUAGUAACAUUAUGUUUUGAAUAUGGUUACUUCUAAGGGAAGGGCCAAUUAUUUGGUACAUCCUGGAAUACACAGAAAUUCAUAUAUGGUGGUUACUUUAUCCUAACUAAAAUGGGAUAUGGAAGCUGAGGUGUUUGGGUUAUUUUUUUGUCCUUCUGUACAUUUGCUAAAAAUUAUUUUGAUUCCCUUCAACAUUUAAUUUAUAUUUGUAAAAGAAAAAACUAAGAAGAAUUCCAUUAGAGAAGCUUUGAUAUAUGUUCUCACUUUCUGAGGAUUAUUUUAAAAGUUCCAUGCAUUGAUUUAAUAAAAUAUAUGCUAUCAAAAAAUGCCAGUGAUCUUUUAUAAUAGUACUUUUUGAGGAAACUCUCCUUCUAUGUGCUUCUCUUAGUGGUUUUCCUUUAUGGAUACGUAUACUGUGUCUUAAUUUCUAUCAAAUUUGGAGAAAGAAUUAAUUUUUUGACUCAACCAUACUUGCAUAUAGUAUAAAAAAAGUAAACUUUUAACAAGUAUAGACUCUGGUUGUUUUUUGCUAUAACUGAAAUAAUGACUAAAAUCAAGUAGUUAGACGCAUUAGGAGCCAAUUAGUUUUAAGGAAAGACAUAAUUCCUAGAAUUGUCAACAGAAAUUCCGAAAGAGAACUACUGAUUUUCAAUAGCAGUCAGUAUACCCAGCACCUAGACUUGGUUUCUAAUUUCUAAAAGAAAUUUAAAUUUAAAAUUUUUCAAUAAAUGGUUGGUUUCCAGUGUACGGCAGAAAAUUACAUGUUGAGUCAGGAGCAUCUUGUGAGGAAAAUAAGGAAAGGCUUAAACAUUGAUGAGGACAGAAACAGAAGAUAUCAGAGCCAUCCUGGAAGAGUCCCUCUAGCUAGGUUUCGGGCAGUUCAACAUUAGAGGAAUAAUGAUGGUAAAGAAUAUGAUAUCCCGAAUUGAAAACUAAUUUAUUAGGCCAUAGUCAUGAUCAAACGGAUAAGCUGUUACACUUGGAUAUGGAAUUUCUCUUGAAGACUUGUGUGUUGAAGCUAUGAUGGCCAGGUAGAGAUAUUUUGGGGAAGGUAGUGAUGUUAACCCUUCCAAUAAUAAAUGGACUCUAAUUUCAGCCAAUGAAUUCUGGUAGAAGUGAUGCUGUGAUUCUGUGGCAGAGUUGUAAAAGGUCCAUGCACUUUCACCUUCUUAUGGGACACUCAUGCUUGGCAUUCUAACUGGCCCCCUUUGCCUCCCCAGAACCGCUAGGAAGUGAGGAAACAAAGCACAAGAGGGAUUCAGGCCAGGUUGCAUGUCUGCAGAUCCAGAAGUAAUCCUGGUCUCCCCGGUGCCUCAGCUGAGGCCUCAGGUAUGUGGGCUGGAGUAGCUUCCAGUCCCCACCCAAUGAGCUCACUCCAGUCUUCACAGCAGGGCUUUCAGAUAUCACGAGAUGGAGACACGCCAUCUCUCAGGUUUCUUUUCUGGAUUUUCAAACUUUGGAAUCUGCAAACAUAAUGAAAUGAUUACUUUAAACUUCUGUCUUUUGGAAUGCUACAUAGCAGUUAUAGCUGGAAGCAUGAGAUAAGAGAUAGAGUCUUUUACUCGGUGAUGCUGGAAUCUGGCAUUAGUGUUUGCUUUAUGUGGUAGAUUCCAAAUUUUGAUUUAUUUUAUGGACUCUUCUGUGGUUUUCUUCUGAAAUAGCUUUUACCCUGACUCAUGACACAGAGAUUCUCUUCAUCCGCUCAGAGACGAGGAACAAUACAUUCAUGGAUGUCUGUCACAGUGCCCUUUCACUCACUGUUUCUUUCAACCAAAUUUUCUUAUCUUUAAUCUUCUCUGAGCCUAGAGAUGGGUAAUGGAGUUAUGCUGGCAAAAUUAUUUUUUUGUUCAACUCUUUGCAAAUCCCACUGAGAUUGUCUUGUUUUCUGCUUGUAGAAUAUUGAGAUCCUUAUCCUUAGUAUCUGUUUGUUCUCAGGUUCAACUCCAAAUCCCCAAAGCACAGGAAAUACAAUGCUCUGCAAGAAGAACCAUGAAGUAGGCUGGAGAAGCUUCAGUCACUUGCAGUCAACAUGGACCAAAAAUAAUACAUGGAAAAUUCCAGAAAAAAACUCUACAGAGGCAGAAGAUGGAAUGCACACAGGCAAAUGCAAAUAAUUUUGGGGAAGAGUACAACAAAAUGCUUGAAGGAAGAAAAAGCAGUAGGAGAAAAUGUGCCAGUUUUGUACACUGGAAGUCCAAUGUCAAUGUUCACAAGUUCAGCAAGCCUGGAAGCCUUUCUCCUUGAAAAUGGCCACUAUUCAACAUGUUCUCAAACUCCUGGUCCUGUGCCGUGAAUACUCCAGGUAUCUCUGUUCUUACAAGGCCAGCCUUCGGGUUGGAUUGGCACCAGCAUACAAGCCAGCCUCUUUUUAACUUGGUCACCUCCUCACAGCCUCAUCUGCAAAUACAGUCACUGACAGACUGGGAGUUGGGAUACAAAUGUGUGAAUUUGGGGGCUGGGGAACACAGUUCAGCCCACAAGAAAGAUAAAAAAUAACAGUGACUAUUUAUCUCUUCAAGUUGGGGUGGCUUGGGAAUUUAGACAAAGUAAAUUGGCAGCAGAGAUUUUCUGCCUCCCAGAGUCUGGGGACCCCAGCCUAAGCCCUGGAGCAGGGGCUAGUGUACCUGAAGAACUAUUUCUGAUCUGCUUGUGUAUGAUACCUGUGGGGUGCGACCUGCAUUGGAUCUGUUGCCUUGUGUCCUCAACUCCAUCAUGGCUUGGCCACUGUAUUCUCAUGAGAGAAAAACAGAGAUGAAGCCUGGCAGAAGAUAUCUUUUCUUUGCUGAUGUGGUUUCAGAAGACAGGUGGCGUCAGGUCUGCUGCCCAUUGUUAGAUAAGAUGGUUAAAAAUGUCUGCCUAGAUUUAAGGGGAGAAGAAAUAAACUCACUUGCAGUGGGAAAAAUGUCAGUCAUGAUGUGGUGACUGAAAGAAAUAGAGAUAUCUAUUUCUUAAUAUCAAUAUGUAGCUACUAUACAUAUAAGAAUUACAUUUUUAGGCAUAUAAUAUGUGCAUAUGUUACAAAAAUUGCAUAUAUUACAAAUCUAGUUUGUGUGUGUGUGUGUUUGUGUGAGAUCCUGUGUGAAACACAAUCCAUCACAGUCAUAUUUAUUUGAAAAUACAUAAUAUUCAUAUAACCGCUAUAGUAGAUGUUGUCUUCCAGUAUCAUUUCCUGUGUGUUCCUCUGCCUACUUCUUAGAGAAAGACAAGUGCUGUACAAUCCCACUGCAGUGUGGAAUACUAAAGUUGAACUCCCGGAAAUAGGGUGACAUGUUGGUUAGCAGAUGUUGACAGGAGAGAGAAAAUGGAGACAUUUUGAUCUAAGUGUAUAAACAUGAGGUUGUAAGAUGAAUUCUGAAGAUCCAAUGUUCAGCACUUGACUAUUAUUGUUAACAGUACUUGCUUAAAAUUUGCUAAGAGAAUAGUUUUAAAGUGUUCUUACCAUACCCACACCCACCCUAACAUGUGACUAUGCGAAACAAUGAGCAUGUCAGUUACUUUGAUUGUAGUAAUCACUUAGAAACACACGUGCAUAUCAAAAUAGCAAACUAUGAACCUUAAAUAUAUAGAAUCAUACUACAAUAAAACUGAGAAAAAAAAAACAGUAGAAUUAUCAAGAAGCCUGAUGUUUCAGUGGAAAAAAAUAAAAAUAUAAAGGAGACGCUUGGGCACAGAGACAUUCCACAUCAUGUGAAGAUUGGAGUCCCGCUGCCCUGAGUCCAGAAAGGAGCUAUCAGAAAGUCAGAGGCCAGGAACAGAUCCUUCUCUAGUCCCUUCCAAGGGAGUACAGUUCUGCCGACACCUUGAUCUCAGACUUCCCACCUCCAGACAGGACGACAACACAUUUCUUUCUUCACAGAGCUCUCUGGUUUGUGGUACAUUGUUAUAAUAGCCCCAGGAAACUAAUACAAAUGUGACACCUGGGACACCCUGGCAGCCUGGCUUUUCCUAGGCGGGAAAAGCUUUACAAAGACAAAGCAGAAGCCAAUGCUAAUGGAUAAGCAGCUCCAGAGUGGGAGGGAUUGUCUGAGCACAGGCCAGGGCCCAGUUCUUAGGGCCACGUAUUGCCCUGACUUUCAAGCAUUCCAUUAGUUUUACCAAAAAAAUAUCUUUUUCUCAGUUACUAAAGGAAUUCAGUUCAGAUUUCUGUCAUUUGCAAGUCAAACAGUCCUAAUAUUCCCAUUUUGCAUUUUUCAAUUAUUUUGAUAAAUAUGACUUGUAUUAUUUGAGAAGCUGAUGUUAUUCUAAAGCAGUUUUCACCUUCAGAUAGGAGAGAGGACUCCAUUUUCAAGCAUGGAUACGCGUGCUACACAUGUCACAAGGAUCCCACAGGGGGAUUGCUGGUGCAGUGUCACAAGACAAAUAUUUCUAUCAUUGCUCUCUAUGAGGGUCUAAAGAGGUUGGAAGGGAUCAAACUGGUAAGACAGCACAACGUCACUUCAUUCCGCUCCUCCACUGGUUCUUCCUUUUUCCUUUUUUAAAAUAAAACUUCUCAUGUAUAUCAAUGAGUGAUUGAAUGUGUGU